UGCCCAGGAGGCUGAUGCCACAUAGAAGACCUGCAGGUCGGUGGAUGUGAAACAGGCAUCGGACACGCUGUGCACCUUGGGACGCAUCUGAGAAGUGUGUGCUUGCAGCAGAUCUGAGAAGUGAGGGUGAACGCUGAGUUAUUCACGGGAGUCAAGAAACCACACGCAGCCCAAAGUGACGUUUGUUUCCCUGAAAUGAUUUGUGUGUGUUCACCUUAAAAUGCAACUCAGUAAAACAGGGACACUAGCAGCCCCCACAUCCGAUCACAGUGGCCUGAAGGUUAAAGGCAACGGCGGCACGAGACGUACAGUAAGAGCUCUGAGCAGGGAGAGCAGGGAGCUGCCCAGGGAGUUCCACCACCAUCUCCCAUCUGGCCGCCGAGGAAACCGAGGCUCAUGGUGACCUGGCCAGGUCUGUUGGACUCAGGGUCCUUCUCAUCCCGAAGAUCAGAGAGCUGUCACCAGGGAAGGAGCUGGCCCCUAGACACAGCCCAGGAAGCACACAGAGAAGGAUGCCCUGGGGACUUCGGUAUGUUAUUGCAAAAAAAACAUUAAUUGCUAUUUGAACCCUGCUUUCAUGCCUCCAUUUCCCAGAAAAUGAGCCACGGAGACACCAGGAGAGGCAGGAGACCAUCCUCCUUGCACAAAACCCAUUCCCUUGGAUGCUGUCCUCAGCGAGGGUGGCUGAGGGCCAACCAGGGGGCCCACCCGCAGAGUGGCAGAGGAGGUCCAUGGCGGCUGCCAGGGCCAGCUGGUAGUACCCGGCUGCAUCAAACGGGUCCUGAAGGGGACAGGCCAUGCUCAGCAAAAGGGGGACUCGGAGCCCGUCUUCCCAGAGGCCGUUCCUGUCUCCAGGUCAUUCCACAUGUCCAGCCAAUGCUGGCUCACCCCAUGAGCCCCGAAGCCUGUGACACUGCUGUGGUCUCAGCUGCAGGAGGUGGGGAUGACCCUGACACCCCUGGAAGCCUUCCUGAGUGUCCCUACGCCCCACUCACCCCAAGCCUCCUGCCCCAGUGCCACCCUCUCUGCAGGCAGUGGCUGCUUUCCCCAUGGGCUGAGGUCAGGGCAGAUCCUGCCUGCUCUGACAGUUCCAUGCAGGACUCGUGGCUCCAAGCCACAGCAGGGGCACAGCGUUGAGUGACCCAGGCUCCCCUCUGGCCCCUGUCCAAACUGACCAUUUCCAGGCCCUCCACGGGACAGGCCAGGUACAAAACCAUCUCACAGGUGUCCUCCCUGGCAAUGAUCCCUGAAAUAUUGAUGGAGUGUGACUCCCCA
rnacentral:lncRNA from 1 species